GCUGGCACUAUGGAUUCUGUGGAGCUUCAGUUAGAAAGUAGGAAAGGUUUGAACUGCAGUCCUGAUAUGAUAAAAGUGAAAUGAAAGUUGGUACAGCUGUCUGUUUCAGCUGCUAUAACAAGGCACCACAAACAGAGUAGCUUGUAAAGAAGAGAAGUUUAUAUCUUACAGUUCUGGAAGCUGGGAAGUCCAAGAUCAAGGCAGAUCAUGCUAAUGUGCCCAGCUGAGAUGGCUGCCGGACAGUUCUUGGCAGGAAAGAAACUGCUCUUGAGAUUGAGAGGUUGCCCGCCAGUGUCCAGAAGUCAGUAGACCUGGCACACCAC